AGUAAACAGGCAUAAAGAAACAGCUCAUUAAUGUCAAUAAACAUCUUAGACAACCAAUCUCUUGGGCUAAGCAUGUAAAUCUCUGGCACUAGUUGGUUCAGACAUUUCAUCAUAUACCUUUCGGGUAUGAAAUGUCUGUGACCUAGUUCCAAUUGAUCAGAGAAGAACUAGCUAAUAAAACUCUAGUCCAGAAGGGAAACAAAAUGAAUCUAACAUAAACACUCUAGCAAACUAACAUCCUCCACCUAA
rnacentral:lncRNA from 1 species